UCCGAAUUGGUGUAGUGGCCAACAUUUGACGCUCUCAUGAAGUGAUCCGUCAAGCCCGGGGUUCGAUUCCCCGAUUCGGAG
rnacentral:tRNA from 1 species